AUUGAACGCUGGCGGCAUGCCUUACACAUGCAAGUCGAACGGUAACAGGUCUUCGGAUGCUGACGAGUGGCGAACGGGUGAGUAAUACAUCGGAACGUGCCUAGUAGUGGGGGAUAACUACUCGAAAGAGUGGCUAAUACCGCAUGAGAUCUACGGAUGAAAGCAGGGGAUCGCAAGACCUUGUGCUACUAGAGCGGCCGAUGGCAGAUUAGGUAGUUGGUGGGAUAAAAGCUUACCAAGCCGACGAUCUGUAGCUGGUCUGAGAGGACGAUCAGCCACACUGGGACUGAGACACGGCCCAGACUCCUACGGGAGGCAACAGUGGGGAAUUUUGGACAAUGGGCGCAAGCCUGAUCCCGCAAGGCAGCGUGCAGGAUGAAGGCCUUCGGGUUGUAAACUGCUUUUGUACGGAACGAAAAGCCCUGGGUUAAUACCCUGGGGUCAUGACGGUACCGUAAGAAUAAGCACCGGCUAACUACGUGCCAGCCGCCGCGGUAA
rnacentral:rRNA from 1 species